rnacentral:rRNA from 1 species
GUACUGUGCGAACGUUAUUCGGAAUCACUGGGGCUUAAAGGGGUGCGCAGGCGGCCGAUCAAGUCAGGUGUGAAAGUCCUCGGCUCAACCGAGGGAAUUGCGCUUGAAACUGAUCGGCUUGAGUGAGAUAGGGGUGUGCGGAACUUCCAGUGGAGCGGUGAAAUGUGUUGAUAUUGGAAGGAACGCCGGUGGCGAAAGCGGCACACUGGGUCUCAACUGACGCUCAUGCACGAAAGCCAGGGUAGCGAACGGGAUUAGAUACCCCGGUAGUCCUGGCUGUAAACGAUGAGCACUAGACGAGAGGAGUUUCGACUCAUCUGGUCGCAGCGAAAGCAUUAAGUGCUCCGCCUGGGGAGUAUGGUCGCAAAGGCUG